GACUGCUGCAGAAAAUUUAUUGAUCGACAUGUUUCGGUGCCUAGGGCACCGUCAUCAGGAUAAAAACAAUACAUAAAAUCAUGUUGAAGUACAAAAUCGGGUUGUUAAAAUUUAAACGUCACAAUGUUACAAUGGUAAGUAACGUUAUUAAUAGCAACGUACUGAAAGUGAAAGUGAAAGUUCAUUGGAAGUAUGUAAAUAAACUAUAAAAAGAAAUUAAAAUAAAAUGUUUUUGUUGUGAAAAUGUUUGUUAAAAUUAUUCUGCCAACAUGUGUGUGUCCUCUUGCAUCGUGGAAAGAAUAAUUACAAUAAGUUGUCAGGCUGUGUAUAUAACUGUAUAGGUUGUGUGGUCUGAAUGUUCUGUUAACUUUCUUCCCCAAAAUAGACGACAUUUUAUCAGCAAUUCCGUACCAUUUCGACUGGCUUCCCUUGGCCAGAGGUACUGCUUCCAAUCGCGUCAGGAAUGCUGUAAAAUGUUUCGGUCGCCGAGAGUAAAGGACAAAGUAUAAAUAUCACUAGUCUAUGUUGAAUUUUAACUAUGUGUUCGUUCAUCAAACUAUCGGGAAUGGCCAGUAAUCCGUAAAAGUGGUUGUAUCUCGAGGGUUGUAUGUUUGAUUAACAUAUUUUCGGGAGCAUCAGAUUGAAUUUGAAGAAUACGAAAUCGGGUGCAUUUAAUUCAAGUGAAUUCUGUUAGAGAGAAAUAAUUUCCUAUCACUGUUCUUUUCCUCCUUAAGGCUCGUUUUGGGUUAAGAUGGUCCGUUAUUAUCGAUUUCUUUUCUUGUGGUUGAUGGCAGCAUUCUCGGAAGGUUCCUGUGUGUGCCUCAAUAAAAUAUAACUUUGUAUACUCUGUGCGAAUGGCUAGUAUGAUUAGCGCUGGUUGCAACGGCGGUUUCCUUACGGAAUGCAGGGGUUCACGAUAAAAAAUAAAAUCAAUUACAAACGAAAGUGAACCAACGCCUGGUGAGUCUGUAGAACGGUAGAGUCCAUAAAGUGGAUACCUCGACGGGUAUGCAGGGUCGUUAUGAUAAAAAAACAUAAAAUGUAGAGAGUCUUAUAACAACAACACUUUAGGGACUGCUGCAGAAAAUUUAUUGAUCGACAUGUUUCGGUGCCUAGGGCACCGUCAUCAGGAUAAAAACAAUACAUAAAAUCAUGUUGAAGUACAAAAUCGGGUUGUUAAAAUUUAAACGUCACAAUGUUACAAUGGUAAGUAACGUUAUUAAUAGCAACGUACUGAAAGUGAAAGUGAAAGUUCAUUGGAAGUAUGUAAAUAAACUAUAAAAAGAAAUUAAAAUAAAAUGUUUUUGUUGUGAAAAUGUUUGUUAAAAUUAUUCUGCCAACAUGUGUGUGUCCUCUUGCAUCGUGGAAAGAAUAAUACAAUAAGUUGUCAGGCUGUGUAUAGACUGUAUAGGUUGUGUGGUCUGAAUGUUCUGUUAAAUUUCUUCCCCAAAAUAGACGACAUUUUAUCAGCAAUUCGUACCAUUUCGACUGGCUUCCCUUGCCAGAGGUACUGCUUCCAAUCGCGUCAGGAAUGCUGUAAAAUGUUUCGGUCGCCGAGAGUAAAGGACAAAGUAUAAAUAUCACUAGUCUAUGUUGAAUUUUAACUAUGUGUUCGUUCAUCAAACUAUCGGGAAUGGCCAGUAAUCCGUAAAAGUGGUUGUAUCUCGAGGGUUGUAUGUUUGAUUAACAUAUUUUCGGGAGCAUCAGAUUGAAUUUGAAGAAUACGAAAUCGGGUGCAUUUAAUUCAAGUGAAUUCUGUUAGAGAGAAAUAAUUUCCUAUCACUGUUCUUUUCCUCCUUAAGGCUCGUUUUGGGUUAAGAUGGUCCGUUAUUAUCUAUUUCUUUUCUUGUGGUUGAUGGCAGCAUUCUCGGAAGGUUCCUGUGUGUGCCUCAAUAAAAUAUAACUUUGUAUACUCUGUGCGAAUGGC
rnacentral:lncRNA from 1 species